UACGUAUGACCCAAGCGUUAUCCGGAAUUAUUGGGCGUAAAGCGAGCGCAGGCGGUUUAUUAAGUCUGAUGUGAAAGCCCGGAGCUCAACUGUGGAAUGGCAUUGGAAACUGGUUAACUUGAGUGCAGUAGAGGUAAGUGGAAUUCCAAGUGUAGCGGUGAAAUGCGUAGAUAUAUGGAAGAACACCAGUGGCGAAGGCGGCUUACUGGACUGUAACUGACGCUGAGGCUCGAAAGCGUGGGUAGCAAACAGG
rnacentral:rRNA from 1 species